rnacentral:rRNA from 1 species
GCCUAAAUAUAAGAGGUCCAGCCUGCCCAGUGACAAAAUUUAACGGCCGCGGUACCCUAACCGUGCGAAGGUAGCAUAAUCACUUGUUCUUUAAAUGAGGACUUGUAUCAACGGCAUCACGAGGGUUAAACUGUCUCCUUUUUCAUAUCAGUGAAACUAAUCUCCCCGUGAAGAAGCGGGGAUAAUCCUAUAAGACGAGAAGACCCCAUGGAGCUUUAAACCCAACUACACCCCUCUUUAACUUUACCUUUAAACACCCGGGAUUUUUGUAUGUUCUGGUUUUAGGUUGGGGUGACCGCGGAGCAUAAAUUAGCCUCCACAAUGAAUAGAUUUUUCUCUUUAUCCAAGACCGACACUUCUAAGAAUUAGUACUCUAACAUAAAAUGAUCCGAUAUUCGAUCAACGAACCAAGUUACCCUGGGGAUAACAGCGCAAUCUACUUUAAGAGCUCCUAUCGACAAGUGGGUUUACGACCUCGAUGUUGGAUCAGGGUAUCCUAGUGGUGCAGCAGCUACUAAAGGUUCGUUUGUUCAACGAUUAAAACCCU